UUUUUAGUUUAUUGUAUGUUUUCCUUUUUGUAUCACGGGUUUUAGUUUUUUUUAAUUAUUAUGUACCCGAUUAAUGAAGAUCUAAGUUUAAACUUGUUUUUGUUAGACAAUUUUUACUAGUCAAUAGUGAUUUAGAUUUAUGCUUGGUGGUGAUAUUCUUUCGAUUCUUUAAAUCUGGUUUUUUUUUGUUUUAAGUUUAAGCUUUAAAUUGUUGAUUGGUUGUUUUUUUAUUUUUUAGAUUUAUGCUUGAUACUGGCACUUUCUUUUAUUAUAAUAUUUUCAGUUAGUUAAGUUUUUCUUAAGUUAUGUUGUAUCUAAAAUUAAUAUAUUAUUAUAAAAUAUAGUUAUUAUAACUCAGAGACUUUACAACUGUUUAUUAAAAACAUUUCUUAUUUAUUAAUAGGUAAAUUCUGCUCAAUGGUUAUAAAUAGCUGCAGUAUUAUGACUGUACGAAGGUAGCAUAAUUACUUGUCUAGUCAUUUUAGAAUUGUUUGAAUGAUUAAAUGAUAUGGUUCUUGUAUUAUUAACUAUAAUUUAAAUUUAAAUUUUCUGUAAAGAUGCAGUUUAAUUCAUUAAAGACAAAAAGACCCUAAAGAGCUUUUAGCGUAUUUGGUUGUUGCUUUUGGAUGGGAUAUUCCCUUUUGUUUGAAAGGUUGUUUAUUAUUUUAAGCUUCCUUAGGGAUAACAGGGAGAUAUUUUCUAAGAGUUCUUAUCUAAGAAUUUGUUUUCUACCUCGAUGUUGAAUUAUAGUUAAGCGUGGGGAGCAGAAGCUCUUUUGUUUUAGUCUGUUCGACUUUUAAUACUAUUCGUGAUUUGAGUUUAGACCGAUGUAAAUCAGGUUGGUUUUUAUCUUAAAUUUUAGAUAAUUGUACGAAAGGACUUUAUUUUCUUUUA
rnacentral:rRNA from 1 species